GGAUUCAGACCUGAAGGAUCUGAAUGAUCUUGUGCAGAGUCCAGACUUUGCUCUGCAGACUCUGAGAUAGUUCUAAUGAGACUCACAGAGGAACCAGAGGAAGUGGAGAUGACUCUCAGUGCUGCAGUCUGAACUGCUCCGAGACCAACUCCACUCUCCACCAUUGUCACUGUGUGCUCUGCAUCAUCAGUGCAUCUGGAUUCAGAGUUCAGCUGAAGAAACCCAGAGAUCUGAUUUUAAAUGAUUUAUUUCUCUCAGACUGUAAAAGACUGAUGUUUUCCUCAGUUCACCUGUGGAACAUUUUGUUGUACAGAUGUUCUACGUGUUGUCUUAUUGUGUAUAUACAGGUUUGAAAAUGUUCAUCUGUUCAUUAUGAGUCAUCAACAGGUAUCACUGAUUUAAUUAAUCAGUAAUUUUCUGUGCCUUAAAUCAUACUUGUAAAUAAUGUUUAUAUUUACUUUACUUCCUGCCUUAUCUUUGAACGGGGUGUAUUUCAGAUGUUUCUACAGCAGAAUAGUAAUUAAAUGUAAACUCUAAAAUCUAUUUAUGUCUCUACCAAACACACAGUGAAGGUGGCAGGAGUGUUUGUGUCUGGAUGGAGCCACAACUUCCAGCAGGCAGAAGUUUAGGGGCAGCCUGAGAGGCAAAACCCAGGACAGAAAAAGUCGUCACAACAGCAGUAGCUUUAUGCUGCAGACAUAGUAAAGACAAACCCAGGUGAGCGUCUCAACAGUCUUAUCAGCUCCACGAGCUGGACGGUCAGAGGACACGAGUGAGGGAUUAAAUGGUCUGAUGGUGUGAUGUUGGAUUUGACACAAUCUUGAAAAUAAAGUGUAGAUUUAA